rnacentral:rRNA from 1 species
GACGAACGCUGGCGGCGUGCUUAACACAUGCAAGUCGAACGGAAAGGCCCUGCUUUUGUGGGGUGCUCGAGUGGCGAACGGGUGAGUAACACGUGAGUAACCUGCCCUUGACUUUGGGAUAACUUCAGGAAACUGGGGCUAAUACCGGAUAGGAGCUCCUGCUGCAUGGUGGGGGUUGGAAAGUUUCGGCGGUUGGGGAUGUACUCGCGGCUUAUCAGCUUGUUGGUGGGGUAGUGGCUUACCAAGGCUUUGACGGGUAGCCGGCCUGAGAGGGUGACCGGCCACAUUGGGACUGAGAGACGGCACAGACUCCGACGGGAGGCAGCAGUGGGGAAUAUUGCACAAUGGGCGGAAGCCGGAUGCAGCAACGCCGCGUGCGGGAUAACGGCCUUCGGGUUGUAAACCGCUUUCGCCUGUGACGAAGCGUGAGUGACGGUAAUGGGUAAAGAAGCACCGGCUAACUACGUG